rnacentral:lncRNA from 1 species
AAGGAAGGGAGGAAGGGCUGCCAUGAACUAAUUCUUGUUUAGUUAGUUUAUGGGCAUUUUGGAAGGUUGAGUCCUGAAGUUACUAGAUCUCUAUUUUUGCCUGGGAGCCCCAGCCAUGGAACACAGUAGAAUUUUUUGUUCACACAAGCUGCCCGGACCAAACCUGACCAUGCCAUGCUGAACACAGGUGAUAAGCCAUAGCUGCUUGUUUGUAGAAACAGUUCGGAGGUUUUCUGAGUUCUGUUUCAGUUGGGGGGAAAAAUGAAUGUGAUUGACCAGACAAGAGUGGAAAGAAGGCCUGGGCAGUCCCAGAGAGCAAGCUCUCAUUCCUGAGGAGUCGACAGAAACGAGGCACAGCCGCCUGAGUGCCCCGCUUCCAUUCCGAGGAUCGUGAAUCCAAGCUUGAGGAGUUCGGCGUUCAAAGAAUGUUUCACAGCAAAGGAAGCUCGGCCACGACUGCAGAGAGGAAGUGAAAUGAUGAGAGGGGAACUGUUGGAGAAGAGAGCACCAAGGCGGACAUCAGGAAGGCAGAAUGGCCUGUCUUCCUUCUUGGGACAGCCUUCAAACAUCUCAUCAUGUAUUUCUGUUAGGAUGUCCCUAAUCCCAAAAUCUGAAGCUCAAGGUGCUCCCCAGUUCAAGGGUUUUUGAGCACUAACUUGACUCCGUGGUAAGUUCUACAGCUGGCCUUGUGUGAUCCAUCAGUCAGAACACAGCUCCAUUAAAACUACCAUGUAGACUUACCAUCAGCCACGUGUACAGGGUACCUGAGGGACUGAAAUGAACUGCAUGUUUAGACUUGAGAUUCAUCCUCAAGACUCAUAUUUAUUCAGAUAUUCCAAAUUUAUUUUAAAAGCAGAUUCCGAUCCAGAGCCUUUCAGGUAAAGGGUCUCUCUGACUUGCGUGACUGUUGGUAGGGUUCACUGUGACCAUGUAGGUCAAGCUAUCUGGCUGGUUCAACAGUUGGAUUGGUUCCCUUGGUUUUUGAAUUAGCUAAGUCCAUAGUGCUUGUCACUGCAGAUGAAGCAACUUAGAGUCUUAUCCUCCAGGAUAACCAGGUAAGAAAUAGUGUUUGGCCAUUUCGGUUGAAACCCAGGGUGACAUUCAAUGCAGCUGUGAUAACAGCAAAAAUCUGAUCUCUUCUAAAACUGUGAGUAGCACUGGAAACACUUCCACCUCUGGUUGAAUGUACUUGACCGAAGGUGGCUUCCUUGGAAUAAAUACAUGCAUUUUAUUUUUUAAGGAUUGUCUAUAUAGAUAGCAUUCAUUAAGUAUGGGCAUUGUUGGUGAAUGCUUCCCAGGAUAGAUGUUUAUAUAGUGGAAAUACAAAAGAUUUAUUAAAAGAUACGCCAAAGAUUAUUUUUUAGCCUACAUGCCAAUGCACAUAAUCUUAUGUAAGACACCAAAGGAAGUUGUUCAAAUCUGUAAAUAGUGUCAGACAAAUGUAACAUGUCCCUUCUCAGAAUAGUCGCAAGAAGGGUUGGUCUCUGCCUCAAGUAAUUUUCUUUAAGAAAUGCCUUCCUUGCCCCAACAGCAAGAUUUCCCAUUAUGUCUGUGAUGUGUUUUGAUACCCGUGUGUGUAAAUAUGCAUUGCAUUGAGAAGGGGUCCAUGUGACUGUGGCUUUAGAAAUCCAAUAGCCUCCAUCUGCCAGCUAGUGGGGAAGGUCUACACCGGAGUUCAGAGUCCUCUGGCCUCAGCCACACUGACAAGAGAGGCCACAAGGUCCCCACUUAAAGAGCGCUUCAUCUUGGCCAUUGUUGUGUUCAAUUCUCCAAGAACAAAGAGCAAGUCUCUUCCGCUUAACUCCCUCCACACAGGGAACAGUUCCGGGCUCACACGCCCUGUAUGCACGGGUUAGAGCGGAAGUUGGUUCUGGCUGUGUGCUUUGGAGUCUAAAGUCCACAGAGGUGCAUUUAGCUGCUCCAUCAUCUGUGUGAAUCAUAAUAUAUAUAAUGUAAAUAAACUGAGCAACUGAACCUCUUAUGUUCUAUAAUAGAGCACUUUCCUGGUUUUGAAAUCAUUUACGUUCUCCGCAAAUCUAGCAAAAUGGCAGUAAAUGUAUUUUUUCACACUACAGCAUUCUACCCACGCUAUUGCACUGCAACCAGUAUUGUUUGAACAAAGAACCUCAUCUAUCUCUCUAUUUAAAUAAUGUAUGUGCUUAAUAUAUUUUCAGAUAUGUAAUUGUGGUUAAAGGAAACCUAUAUGGAAUCUUGCACAAACCCUCACUGAUGUAAGAAUAAAACUGCUGCUCAUUGAAA